rnacentral:tRNA from 1 species
UUGAUGGUGGCUCAGUGGUAGAGCAUUAGACUGCAGAUCGAGAGGUCCCGAGUUCGAAACUCGGCUGUUGCG